CCCAUUUAUGUCAGACUUUUAUGUGCCUGCUCUUCUCAAAUGGGACCCAGAUGAAGUGCAAUCUUUUGCUUAGAAGAGUCUGAGGAGUUCACUGGAUUUCUUUAUUUAGAAGCCAGGGUGAUUUUUCUAAAAGAAAGGCAAAACUUAGGACUUUUCUUGAAGUCAGAGGGACAGCCUGGGUUAGGGUGCCAGGCAUGAUGAGACCCCAGAGGAGCCCAGGAGCCAGUGUGGUGCCUCCUUUUGUGCUGCACCCCAGAUGCUCUGCUUGUCUUCCCCACUCGCAAUGGGUACUCCUCUUUGAAAUGUCAGUUCUAAUGGCAGCUUCCCUUAGAAACCCCACACCCUGCCCUCACGUUUUAAAUGUUUUCUCCUAUAUAUUAUUUGAUCCCACAAACCCUGUCUCUGGGGCCUUGAUAUCCCAGCGCCAAGCCUUUUCUCCUUGAAGGGUGCCAUGGGGUGGGGUGAGGCAGGUUAGGUCCCUCCAGUCUCCUGAACUUGAGCAGUAUUAACAAUUUUUGAAAGGAUGAUACCCUGUGAAGAUGAGCAGGGGAAAGACAGCUGCUCUCACGUGUUUCUGGAAAGAGUUUAAACUGGCGAUUCUUUCAGUCAGGCCAUUUGGCACUGACACUUAAAAAUUCAGUGUGCACUUUGCCUUGGAUUUGGCAUUUCGUGUGUGAAGAAAUAAAUGGACAAAGGCACGAAAGAUAUGUGUAUAAGGAUGUUCCCUGGAGCACUUUGGAUGAUGGGAAGAAACUGGAAACCCCCUAAAUCUCCCAAGUGCAGGAGCUGGUCAUCAUGGCCCACCACUGCAGAGGAGGGGCAGCAGCAACUCCUAAGGAAGAUGCUACCUAUAAACCCAGCCCGGCAUUCUGCACGUGCUUUGGAAUGAAAGGGAAGGUUUCCUAAGAGUGUGCACAGCGCGUUCCAAGCCAGUGCUGUCAACAUAAGGUAUG
rnacentral:lncRNA from 1 species